rnacentral:lncRNA from 1 species
CCCCCCCGCCACAUCAACUCCACCUCUCAGAGACCUGGGAGGAGUCGCCCCCCCCACCACCCCAAGGAUUUUCCCAACACCCCUCACUCCACCACCUCCCUGGGGUAUCCAGUAUAUGUGACCCCUCCCCUCCCCUCCUUCAGACCCCCAGACCCAGCUCCAGCUCUGUUUUGUGUCUCCAGAUACCCCUGACCCCACAUCUGAGACGACCUUGCUGUCAGCUCUGACCUACUCCAGGCAAAAGCAGGAGAGGACCCUGGUAUCCAGGGCCAGCCCCCAGACGGGGGGGCUGGUCUUGCUAAUCUUGGUGCCCACUCUUUUCUGUCUGGGCUUUACCUUGUGGCAGCUCCAACAGAGGUUGUGGAGACAGGUUCACCAGAGCUGCCCCAGCUCCAGCCUCCAUGGGCUGCAGCCAGGCCAAGUAUGGGGAGAAAGAGCUCCUCUCCUUCUAUGGCGCCUCUCCCCUCCAUGGGCUGAGUUGGGGGGCUGGGAUCCCACCAGGGGCCUUACCCCUCAUCCCCUCCAGGGGCAUGGUGGCACCUGGAACCUGCAGCAAAGACAUGGGUGUGGUACCCACCUCCAGCCACUAGGAGGUGAUGUGCCCAGGCCCCACCCCGCCUUCCCUGUACGGAGAACAUUACUAUACUGUGUAUAUAGAUAAAUAGAUUUUUAUAUAAAAAUAUCUAUAUUUUAUAUAAAGCUGCUUUUAAU